ACAAAGCUCUUAGCAACCAGGCUU
rnacentral:piRNA from 1 species